GGCGAAUGUAGAUGAAUUGGUAAAUCAUUAAUUUUCCAAGUUAAUAUUUAUGGGUUCGAGUCCCAUCAUUCGCUA
rnacentral:tRNA from 1 species